GGACCCGCACAAGCAGCGGAGCAUGUGGUUUAAUUCGAAGCAACGCGAAGAACCUUACCAGGGCUUGACAUCCCUCUGACAGGUGGGUAACGCCACCCUCCCUUCGGGGCGGAGGAGACAGGUGGUGCAUGGUUGUCGUCAGCUCGUGUCGUGAGAUGUUGGGUUAAGUCCCGCAACGAGCGCAACCCUUGUCAUUAGUUGCCAUCAGGUAAAGCUGGGCACUCUAGUGAGACUGCCGGGGAUAACUCGGAGGAAGGUGGGGAUGACGUCAAAUCAUCAUGCCCCUUAUGUUCUGGGCUACACACGUGCUACAAUGGCCGGUACAGAGAGAGGCAAACCCGCGAGGGGGAGCAAAACUCAAAAGCCGGUCCCAGUUCGGAUUGCAGGCUGAAACUCGCCUGCAUGAAGUCGGAGUUGCUAGUAAUCGCGAAUCAGAAUGUCGCGGUGAAUACGUUCCCGGGUCUU
rnacentral:rRNA from 1 species